CUACGGGCGGCAGCAGUGGGGAAUAUUGGACAAUGGGCGAAAGCCUGAUCCAGCCAUGCCGCGUGUGUGAAGAAGGCCUUCGGGUUGUAAAGCACUUUCAGUGGGGAAGAAAGCCUUGGGGCUAAUACCCUCGAGGAAGGACAUCACCCACAGAAGAAGCACCGGCUAACUCCGUGCCAGCAGCCGCGGUAAUACGGAGGGUGCGAGCGUUAAUCGGAAUUACUGGGCGUAAAGCGCGCGUAGGCGGUCUGAUAAGCCGGUUGUGAAAGCCCCGGGCUCAACCUGGGAACGGCAUCCGGAACUGUCAGGCUAGAGUGCAGGAGAGGAAGGUAGAAUUCCCGGUGUAGCGGUGAAAUGCGUAGAGAUCGGGAGGAAUACCAGUGGCGAAGGCGGCCUUCUGGACUGACACUGACGCUGAGGUGCGAAAGCGUGGGUAGCAAACAGGAUUAGAUACCCCAGUAGUC
rnacentral:rRNA from 1 species